rnacentral:rRNA from 1 species
UUGAUCCUGGCUCAGGACGAACGCUGGCGGGUGGUUAGACAUGCAAGCGAACGAGAAGCUCCCUUCGGGGAGUGGAGAGUGGCGCACGGGUGAGUAACACGUGAGCAACCUGCCGGGAAGCCCGGGAUAGCCCUCCGAAAGGAGGUUAAUACCGGAUGUGGCCACCCUGCGAUUGCGGGGGAGCUAAAGGAUUAUUCACUUCCCGAGGGGUCGCGGCCCAUCAGCUUGUUGGUGAGGGUAACGGCCCACCAAGGCGACAACGGGUAGCUGGUCUGAGAGGAUGGUCAGCCACACUGGAACUGAGACACGGUCCAGACACCUACGGGUGGCAGCAGUCGAGAAUCACUCGCAAUGGGGGAAACCCUGACGAUGCGACGCCGCGUGGAGGAUGAAGGCCUUAGGGUUGUAAACUCCUGUCAAGAGGGAAUAAGCAAGUGAAGGUACCUCUAAGAGGAAGGGGCGGCUAAUUCCGUGCCAGCAGCCGCGGUAACACCGGAAGCCCCGAGCGUUGUCCGGAUUCAUUGGGCGUAAAG